CGUGCGCCAGGCGGUGCGGCGUCCACCGCGUCUCCCGGGACGACCUCGGGCGCUUCCCUCUCCCAGCGGUUAAUUGGAUUCGGGAGGGGGGAGUGUCAGUCUACCGCAGGGGCCAAUCGAAGGUCUGGAAAGCCCUAUAUGCAAAUAAGAGGGCCGGGCGGACCCCAAGUUAGGAGGGGCGCGGGUUGGGGUUAGAGGUUGUUUGGCAGCCAAUGGGAGGGUGUCUCCUUAAUCCUUCGAGGAGGGGACCCGCAAGUGUGGUUGCCAGCGGUACGGGCGGCAGAGCAGGGGCGAGAGGAAUCGCUGAGGGGAGCCAGUAUUUCCCCAGAGCUUCAGCCCAGGCAGGGGAGAUGCUCCAGUGCCUGCCUUCAGAAGGAGAGGAAGAGACAGACUCAGAAGAGAGGAGGGACAGUUCCAUAGAAGAUUCGAAAGAAAUCGUCACCCUGGCUUUUGUGAGAGAGAACACUGGGGAGCAAAAGGGACUUCAGAAUGCCUCACAGCAAGGCAAGAAGAAGAGGAAGAAAAAGAGGUUAGGAUUGAAAGAUGGGGAAUGGGGAGCUGUGUUGGUAAGAGCAGGAGGGACCUGAAGGGAAGGGGGCCUGGGCUGCUAAGGAGUGGGUAAAUGAGAAACCGUGUGUGGAGUAAAAAUCACAACACUUGUGGGUCAUAUAAAAAGAGCCCACUUUUUUUUUUUGCUUCUGGGGGGGCUGGACCCCCAGCAUAUGGAAGUUCCCAGGCUAGGGGUGUGAUCGGAGCUACAGCUGCCAGCCUACACCACAGCCACAGCAACACAAGAUUCAAGCCACGUCUGCGACCCACACCACAGCUCACGGCAAUGCCAGAUCCUCAACCCAGGAGCCAGGGAUUGAACUCGCAUUCUCACGGAUCCUAGUCGGGUUCAUUUCCACUGCACCACAACGGGAAAUCCCAGGAACCCACUUUUGGUAAUCAAAUCAGAAUCAAAUAAUGGCGUGUGUCAUCUAAAACCACACCUGUCCUCAUCUUUAUUCUAUUUGCAUUUAGAAUGCCUUAAAAAAAAAUGUGGGGGGGGAUGAUUUCCUUGUUUUAAGAAAGUACUUAUUGUCCUGGGAAGUUAGUACAUUUUAAAUGUAACAGAACCACGCUGACUUCUUAGGAUCUGACUGCAGCGUCUGCAUUCCAGUCCCUGGUGAAUAUUUUGCCAUACCUUGGUCCAUUCAGGGGAGGCGGGAUGAAUCACCACUCAGACUGAUUGAUGUCAGCUUUCUAAGUCACAGCUUCCCUUAACGGGGGUGGGGAGGCGGUAAGAGGAGGGUGACUGUUAAGUAUUUUGGCCAAAAAGAUGUUCGCUUUCUCUUCCUGAUGGGCCCCUGGAGUCAAAAGAUUGAGGCGAUGAUAUUAAUGUGAUGCUUCAAGCAAAAUCAGCUAAACUCUCCAUACAGAAUUUCUAGCUUGUACACAGAGUAACAGGACCCUGAACCCUUGUUUUCCGUCACUCAGCCACUGUUGGGCUGUGUGUCCUCAGUAGCAGGGAUGUUUGAACCGGGCUUAAUGCGGCCACUUGGGUUUCAUGCAGUCCCAUCUGGGACAGGAUGCCUCUGCGUGCAG
rnacentral:lncRNA from 1 species